rnacentral:lncRNA from 1 species
CUCGAGGAAGAAGAGCACGGAGGGAGGCUGCCGACGGGGGGCUCCACGAGGUACACGGAGAAGGCCGACGUGUACAGCUUCGCCAUGAUAUGCUUCGAGCUCCUGACGGGGAAGGUACCCUUCGAGGACGGCCACCUACGGGGGGAGAAGAUGAGCAGGAACAUUAGGGCAGGAGAGAGGCCGCUCUUCCCCUUCCCCUCCCCCAAGCACCUCACCGGACUCACCAAGAAGUGCUGGCAGGCCGACCCGUCGCAGCGCCCGAGCUUCUCCGCCAUCUGCAGAGUCCUCCGCUGGGUCAAGCGCUUCCUCCUCCUCAAUCCCGACGCGGCGGCGCCGGGAGCGGCGGCGGACUAC